rnacentral:rRNA from 1 species
CAGAGUUUGAUCAUGCUCAGGAUAAACGCUGGCGGCGCACAUAAGACAUGCAAGUCGAACGAACUUAAUCAUUAGUUUACUAUUGGAGCGGUUAGUGGCGGACUGGUGAGUAACACGUAAGCAACCUGCCUAUCAGAGGGGAACAACAGUUAGAAAUGACUGCUAAUACCGCAUAUGCCUUAGAAUCACAUGGUUCGAAAGGGAAAGGAGCAAUCCGCUGAUAGAUGGGCUUGCGU